rnacentral:rRNA from 1 species
CACGUAGUUAGCCGGUGCUUAUUCUUACGGUACCGUCAUGACCCCAGGGUAUUAACCCAAGGCUUUUCGUUCCGUACAAAAGCAGUUUACAACCCGAGGGCCUUCAUCCUGCACGCGGAAUGGCUGGAUCAGGCUUUCGCCCAUUGUCCAAAAUUCCCCACUGCUGCCUCCCGUAGGAGUCUGGGCCGUGUCUCAGUCCCAGUGUGGCUGGUCGUCCUCUCAGACCAGCUACAGAUCGCAGGCUUGGUAAGCCUUUACCCCACCAACUACCUAAUCUGCCAUCGGCCGCUCCAAUCGCGCGAGGCCCGAAGGUCCCCCGCUUUCAUCCUCAGAUCGUAUGCGGUAUUAGCUGCUCUUUCGAGCAGUUAUCCCCCACGACUGGGCACGUUCCGAUGUAUUACUCACCCGUUCGCCACUCGCCAUCAGGUGCAAGCACCUAUGCUGCCGUUCGACUUGCAUGUGUAAAGCAUUCCGCCAGCGUUCAAUCUGAGCCAGGAU